UUAGAAUGUAAGGAACGAUCGUGCCUUUUCAGUUUAAGAACUUACUUUCUUUACCCCCUUGCUUACCCUUCUUUCUGGAAUGGUGUGAUGCAGGGCUCGCUUGAUUCGCUUCAGCAAGUUGCGUUUUCCCUUCGGAGCUUCCAGAACUUUCUCCCGUUCGUCCAAGGAGUCCUCCAGCUCUGCAGCACACGGCAAUCAACAAGAUCUUCUAGCAAACAGCCAAGCCUGAGAACCGACUGUUCUGGAGCAACGGUUCUCCCCGUGUGAGCCACAGCACCAGUUGCACCUGGCAACUCACUAAAAACACAGAUUCUCAGAUCCCGCUCCAGCCCGACUGAGCACACCUUCUGGAGGUGGAGCCCAGCAGCCUGGGAGUAGGGAGACCUGCUUCUCACUGCACACCCCUCUGCCUUCAGGCCCUAGUUCCCUUCACCCAGGUUCAGGUGGCCAGGCACAAUUAAGGAGCUACAAUUUGACCAAGGAGAGGGCUGCAAAUCUGUUCUCAGCCUUGGACACCGGGGAAGAAAAUGAGGGCCUGCCUCCCUUGGAAGAGCCCUUCUCCGUGUCCACAGCCUUCGGGCCCCCACAGCUCCCUGAGGAGAAGGAGCAUUUAGUGCCUCCAAUGCCCAGGACCCAUGUGAGACUUAGAGAAAAGGUGGGACUGCAUGUGGGCACUAGUCGGAAAAAGUGAGCCCUCUAGUCAUCUUUCCCAGCAACAGGUGGGAUGGAGUGGUGGUCACAGCCACGGGAUCUGGAGGCAGAAGGAGCAGAGUUCACAGGCCAGCCCUGCCCCUCUCUAGCUGAGCUCCCCUUGGCCAGUCCUUGAACCUCCUUCGGCCUCAGCGUCCUCACCUCAGAAAUGAGGAUGUUAAUGCCCAUCCCACAUUGAAACCAUGGGGAUCAGGUAAUGAGACCAGGAACCUGAAGUGCUUGGCGAAGCACAUGGCACAUAUCCAGCCCCCACCCUGGGAAGCUCAGGGCCAUAGGAACAGUGCCUCUCUGAACUGGUUGCAAGACUGGGAAAGAAAUGUGGAGCCUCAAGGCAGGACAUGGGAGGAGACUGUGGGAUUGCAA